GUUUUAAUAGUUUAUAUAAAACUUUGAUUUUGUAAACCAAAAAAAUACUUAUUAUUUAAAACU
rnacentral:tRNA from 1 species